GGGGCUCAGGCGCUUGUUGGCUACAAGGAUUCCGCAGGUCCUAUGACUGUUAAAACGUACAACGUCAGCUCUGCCGCUUCGGUGGUGCAAUCCAAAUUGGCUUUUGAUGUGUGGGACGAACAGGCAGAGGAGGAUAACGGCGUCAUGAGGAUCUUUGCGAAAAUUAAGGUUCCGGCGGACUUGGCAGCGAAGGGGGUGGUGAAUCAGGUGUGGCAGG
rnacentral:misc_RNA from 1 species